CCUGCCCGCAAGACCGGGAUAACUCCGGGAAACCGGAGCUAAUACCGGAUAACACCGAAGACCGCAUGGUCUUUGGUUGAAAGGCGGCCUUUGGCUGUCACUUGCGGAUGGGCCCGCGGCGCAUUAGCUAGUUGGUGAGGUAACGGCUCACCAAGGCGACGAUGCGUAGCCGGCCUGAGAGGGUGACCGGCCACACUGGGACUGAGACACGGCCCAAACUCCUACGGGAGGCAGCAGUAGGGAAUCUUCCGCAAUGGGCGAAAGCCUGACGGAGCGACGCCGCGUGAGCGAAGAAGGCCUUCGGGUCGUAAAGCUCUGUUGUGAGGGACGAAGGAGCGCCGUUCGAAGAGGGCGGCGCGGUGACGGUACCUCACGAGGAAGCCCCGGCUAACUACGUGCCAGCAGCCGCGGUAAUACGUAGGGGGCGAGCGUUGUCCGGAAUUAUUGGGCGUAAAGCGCGCGCAGGCGGUUCCUUAAGUCUGAUGUGAAAGCCCACGGCUCCCCGUGGAGGGUCAUUGGAAACUGGGGGACUUGAGUGCAGGAGAGGAGAGCGGAAUUCCACGUGUAGCGGUGAAAUGCGUAGAGAUGUGGAGGAACACCAGUGGCGAAGGCGGCUCUCUGGCCUGCAACUGACGCUGAGGCGCGAAAGCGUGGGGAGCAAACAGGAUUAGAUACCCUGGUACUCCACGCCGU
rnacentral:rRNA from 1 species